rnacentral:rRNA from 1 species
AAUAAACGCUGGCGGCGUGCCUAACACAUGCAAGUCGAGCGAGAAAGCUCCUUCGGGAGUUAGUAAAGCGGCGAACGGGUGAGCAACACGUGAGAAUCUACCCUUUAGUGAAGAAUACCCUCGAGAAAUCGAGGCUAAUACUGCAUACGUCCCUUCGGGGAGAAAGAUGGCCUCUUUGCUAUCGCUAAAGGAUGAGCUUGCGUACUAUUAGCUAGUUGGCGGGGUAAAGGCCCACCAAGGCAAUGAUGGUUAACCGGCCUGAGAGGGUGUACGGUCACACUGGAACUUAGACACGGUCCAGACUCCUACGGGAGGCAGCAGUGAGGAAUCUUGCGCAAUGGGCGAAAGCCUGACGCAGCGACGCCGCGUGGAGGAUGACGGUUUUCGGAUUGUAAACUCCUGUUAAGCGGGAAGAAAGCCUUGUUUCUAAUACAAGCAAGGUAUGACGGUACCGCUAGAGAAAGCACCGGCUAACUUCGUGCCAGCAGCCGCGGUAAUGUGACG